rnacentral:rRNA from 1 species
UUUAUGGAGAGUUUGAUCCUGGCUCAGGAUGAACGCUGGCGGCGUGCCUAAUACAUGCAAGUCGAGCGAACGGACGAGAAGCUUGCUUCUCUGAUGUUAGCGGCGGACGGGUGAGUAACACGUGGAUAACCUACCUAUAAGACUGGGAUAACUUCGGGAAACCGGAGCUAAUACCGGAUAAUAUUUUGAACCGCAUGGUUCAAAAGUAAAAGACGGUCUUGCUGUCACUUAUAGAUGGAUCCGCGCUGCAUUAGCUAGUUGGUAAGGUAACGGCUUACCAAGGCAACGAUGCAUAGCCGACCUGAGAGGGUGAUCGGCCACACUGGAACUGAGACACGGUCCAGACUCCUACGGGAGGCAGCAGUAGGGAAUCUUCCGCAAUGGGCGAAAGCCUGACGGAGCAACGCCGCGUGAGUGAUGAAGGUCUUCGGAUCGUAAAACUCUGUUAUUAGGGAAGAACAUAUGUGUAAGUAACUGUGCACAUCUUGACGGUACCUAAUCAGAAAGCCACGGCUAACUACGUGCCAGCAGCCGCGGUAAUACGUAGGUGGCAAGCGUUAUCCGGAAUUAUUGGGCGUAAAGCGCGCGUAGGCGGUUUUUUAAGUCUGAUGUGAAAGCCCACGGCUCAACCGUGGAGGGUCAUUGGAAACUGGAAAACUUGAGUGCAGAAGAGGAAAGUGGAAUUCCAUGUGUAGCGGUGAAAUGCGCAGAGAUAUGGAGGAACACCAGUGGCGAAGGCGACUUUCUGGUCUGUAACUGACGCUGAUGUGCGAAAGCGUGGGGAUCAAACAGGAUUAGAUACCCUGGUAGUCCACGCCGUAAACGAUGAGUGCUAAGUGUUAGGGGGUUUCCGCCCCUUAGUGCUGCAGCUAACGCAUUAAGCACUCCGCCUGGGGAGUACGACCGCAAGGUUGAAACUCAAAGGAAUUGACGGGGACCCGCACAAGCGGUGGAGCAUGUGGUUUAAUUCGAAGCAACGCGAAGAACCUUACCAAAUCUUGACAUCCUUUGACAACUCUAGAGAUAGAGCCUUCCCCUUCGGGGGACAAAGUGACAGGUGGUGCAUGGUUGUCGUCAGCUCGUGUCGUGAGAUGUUGGGUUAAGUCCCGCAACGAGCGCAACCCUUAAGCUUAGUUACCAUCAUUAAGUUGGGCACUCUAAGUUGACUGCCGGUGACAAACCGGAGGAAGGUGGGGAUGACGUCAAAUCAUCAUGCCCCUUAUGAUUUGGGCUACACACGUGCUACAAUGGACAAUACAAAGGGCAGCGAAACCGCGAGGUCAAGCAAAUCCCAUAAAGUUGUUCUCAGUUCGGAUUGUAGUCUGCAACUCGACUACAUGAAGCUGGAAUCGCUAGUAAUCGUAGAUCAGCAUGCUACGGUGAAUACGUUCCCGGGUCUUGUACACACCGCCCGUCACACCACGAGAGUUUGUAACACCCGAAGCCGGUGGAGUAACCUUUUAGGAGCUAGCCGUCGAAGGUGGGACAAAUGAUUGGGGUGAAGUCGUAACAAGGUAGCCGUAUCGGAAGGUGCGGCUGGAUCACCUCCUUUCU